rnacentral:rRNA from 1 species
AGUGAACGCUGGCGGUAGGCCUAACACAUGCAAGUCGAACGGCAGCACAGUAAGAGCUUGCUCUUACGGGUGGCGAGUGGCGGACGGGUGAGGAAUACAUCGGAAUCUACUUUUUCGUGGGGGAUAACGCAGGGAGACUUACGCUAAUACCGCAUACGACCUACGGGUGAAAGCAGGGGAUCUUCGGACCUUGCGCGAUUGAAUGAGCCGAUGUCGGAUUAGCUAGUUGGCGGGGUAAAGGCCCACCAAGGCGACGAUCCGUAGCUGGUCUGAGAGGAUGAUCAGCCACACUGGAACUGAGACACGGUCCAGACUCCUACGGGAGGCAGCAGUGGGGAAUAUUGGACAAUGGGCGCAAGCCUGAUCCAGCCAUACCGCGUGGGUGAAGAAGGCCUUCGGGUUGUAAAGCCCUUUUGUUGGGAAAGAAAAGCAGCAGGUUAAUACCCCGCUGUUCUGACGGUACCCAAAGAAUAAGCACCGGCUAACUUCGUG